rnacentral:lncRNA from 10 species
GACUUUUCAUUUUGUUCUGUACUAAGAAUAAUUCUUCUGCCUUGGGAUCCUGUUGAUCUGUGACCUUACCCCCAACCCUGUGCUCUCUGAAACAUGUGCUGCGUCCACUCAUGGUUAAAUGGAUUAAGGGCGGUGCAAGAUGUGCUUUGUUAAACAGAUGCUUGAAGACAGCAUGCUCGUUAAGAGUCAUCACCACUCCCUAAUCUCAAGUACCCAGGGACACAAACACUGCGGAAGGCCGCAGGGUCCUCUGCCUAGGAGAACUAGGGACCUUUGUUCACUUGUUUAUCUGCUGACCUUCCCUCCACUAUUGUCCUAUGACCCUGCCAAAUCCCCCUCUGCGAGAAACACCCAAGAAUGAUCAAUAAAAGAAAAAAAAAAGAAAGUAUGCAAUUUUUAUUUUGGUUAUAUUACAAAAAUGUCAGUCAGAUAUUAAAAAAUAGUUAAUGUGAUAGAAAAACCUUACAUAUUUUUUCUUAUGUUUGUUUAGCGACUUUAGCAAAAUGUUUUCAUAUAAUCUCAUCUGUUUACCUAGAAGAUAGGUUAAGGAAAUAUAUUAUUAUUCCUGUUUGAUGUAGGUGAAGGCAGAGAUCUAACCUGGCUUGUUUAGGGCCAUACCACUAAUUGGAAAAUCUGUACUAGAACCUGUGUCUUAUUACUAUAAGCUAUUAUGUUCAGACUGAAACUGGAGAAAUUACGACAAUUUAUAGCAGUAGUUAAAUCUGAAUGUGUAUGGACAAAAAUAUUUAAUUGCUCAGUAAACUGCUUAACUUCAAAGAUAGUUAUUAACCUCAUAAAUAUUUCAAAAUUUUGAUUCUGAAGUCUAAGUCUGAACACAGACAUAACACUAUCAAAGAAGUUUGAUCUCUGUUUUGACUCAACUAGAGGAAAAAUGAUUGGAUGGGUUUAUUCUUUUCUAAGCAGAAUGGUUUAACUUUGUACUCUUUGAAAAACAAUGCUGAUUUCUAAAUCUCUGCCUAUAACAGAAUGGAAACCUUAUGAAUGAAUUGUGUUUCUCUGUCCUGAGCUGGAGAAGGGAAUGAGCAGGCUGACAGGUCGCACAGCCCCAGGUGGCGCCAUUCUCUCAUGCAAGGAUGGGGCUCCAGGGUGAGCAGCGUGGGCUGCAGUGUGUCAGUCCCAGGAGGGAGGGAGUGGCGAGCACCACAGAUUACCACAUAUGUGUGGAAGACAUUUGUAUCCUUAUCUUUACUAUAAAUAAAUCCAUAAAAGUUAAAAAAAAAUUCCUUUUAACAAAUGUCUAAUAUGAAGGAAAAAAAAUUGUUUUCUCCUGUACUUUCCCCCAUAACCAGUUGUGCUGUGUUAACAGAAGAAACACUAUCCCAGAGCAAUUUUAUCCAACAACUAUCCAAAGAAAAUCUGAUGCUAAUUUUGCAAUUAGUUUUGUUACCUUUAAGCAAUCAAAUUGUUCUCUUAUAUUUUUAUUAACCAGUUAUUUGAUGGAUGUCAAAUCUAGGGUGACAGCUUUAAAAACUGUUUUAGAACCAUCUAGUCAGUUAUUUUGCAAAAGACUUUAGGUUUCAAAGUCAAAAGAUAAAGGAACAGUUUAAUCAUGUUUUGCAUCUUUCCAGGACUGGUAAGAGGUAAGCAAGUUGCUUCAAGAAACUCGUCCAACAGAGUGAUAAAAGGGUGGUUAUGAACAUAAAAUUAGAAAUGGGCAAGGACUAGGGUGGGGAAUGGCCUGUGACACUUACAUCAGAUCAAGGGGAUGACUCAUAAUUCUCUAAAUGGCCUCAGUAAAGCUCCACUUCCCACUAAAAAGUUUUCUGCUCCUACAUAGCAGGAUGCCAACUGGCUUUUUCCUUUAAUGUCAAUAACUGACGUUCCAUUAGGAAAUGAAAAAAACUGAUUCUGAAAGCAAGUAGCCAGCUACCACCAACUGUCUCAACCUCUUUUCCCUUUGCAUUCAAUUCCGUACUUCUUGAAGCUGUAGUUGCUACAAUACCACUGGUGCUUGAAAAUAAUCACUUCCACAUCUGGCUAUAAAACAAGGACUAACCAGAUGUUUUCAUUUUAAGACAUUUUUUCACUAGUUAUUUUAAUCUUCUACAUAACACAAUCAUUUUAACAUUUAGUUGCAGUAGGUUAUUAGUAAUAUCUGCAAGAUAAAGGCGAAUAGUAG